AUAUUUGAAAAUUCUGAAUAGCUGAAAACAACAACAGCGACCAUCCUGUGAUGUCCAAAUAGCUGUGUUUUAAACUGGAUAAUUUGAAAAGAGGCUAACCAGAUAGACACAGAGUACAUUUGGAAUAUAUGCGAAAGCAGAAGAAGUUCGCAUCAUCGUUCUGUAAUUUACAUAGCAUAACAGUCAAUCUGGACCUGUUUUUAACUAACUGCUGGGAGGAAGAGCGGAAUAUAAGUCAAAUAAUAAAAAUAUAAAUAAAUAAAUAAACAUAUCAUACGGACAGUGGGAUUGGACCAAGAUGAAGGAGGUGUGAAAAUUGGAUGGAGAAAUAUCAAUAAUUUAAGAUAUGCAGACGAUACCAUACUCUUAGCAGAAACCAGUAAUGAUUUGAAACGAAUGCUGAUCAAAGUUCAAGAGGAAAGCACAAAAGCAGGACUACAGCUGAAUGUCAAGAAUACUAAAGUAAUGACAACAGAAGAUUUAUGUAACUUUAAAGUUGACAACGAGGACAUUGAACUUGUCAAAGAUUAUCAAUGUCUUGGCACAGUCUUUAACCAAAAUGGAGACAAUAGUCAAGAAAUUAGAAGAAGGCUAGAACUGGGAAGGACAGCUAUGAGAACUACAAAAGGUUCUCAGAUGCAAAGGUGUAUCACUGAACACUAAAGUUAGGUUCAUUCAGACUAUGGUAUUCCCGAUCUCUAUGUAUGGAUGUGAAAGUUGGACAGUGAAAAAAGUGGAUAAGAGAAAAAUCAGCUCAUUUGAAAUGUGGUGUUGGAGGAGAGCUUUGCGGAUACCAUGGACUGCAAAAAAGACAAAUAAUUGUGUGUUAGAACAAAUUAAUCUAGAACUGUCACUAGAAGCUAAAAUGAUGAAAUUGAGGUUAUACUUUGGACACAUAAUGAGAAGACAUGAUUCACUGGAAAAGACAAUAAUGCUGUGAAAAACAGAAGGGAGUAGAAAAAGAGGAAGGCCAAACAAAAGAUGGAUUGAUUCUAUAACGGGAGCCACAGACCUGAACUUACAAGAUCUGAACAGGGUGGUUUAUAACAGAUGCUAUUGGAGAUCACUGAUUCAUGAAAAAAAAGGAAAUGGACUGCCUUCAAGUCGAUCCCGACUUACGACUACCCUAUGAAUAGGGUUUUCAUGGUAAGCGGUAUUCAGAGGGGGUUUACCAUUGCCUCCCUCUGAGGCUAGUCCUCCACAGCUGGCUAGGGCCUGCUCAACUUGCCCCAGCUGCACAAGCCAGCCCCUACUUUGUCUACAACUGACAGCUGGGGGGCAAUUGGGCUCCUUGGGACUAUGCAGCUUGCCCACAGCUGCACAGGUGGCAGAGCAGGUAACCCCUGAGCCACUCACUGUGGGGGUGAUCUUUAGCUGGCCUUUAUACGCUGGAGAAACAAGCAGGGAUUUGAACUCACAGACUCUGGACUCCCAGCCGGAGACACAAGCGGGGAUUUGAACUCACAGACUCUGGACUCCCAGCCAGGCUGUCCUCCCCACUGUGCUAUACCAUACGGUUGCCAUAAGUCGAAAUUGACUUCAAGCCACAUAACAGCAACUAAUAUAUGGUGUGAAUAUGGCCUCAAUAAUCUCGGACAAAACAAAGAAAUGUGAGUAGUUCCAAUACAAAUUAGCACCACACUCAUUUAGACCAACAGAGACCCACAACCACGUAGAUCCAAAUCUCUCUGAGGUUCCUUAUUGAUCAAUUGCAAUACAGACAAACGAAAAAAUAACAUAAAAUAAAACUUGUCUGUUGUGUUGCGACCUCUAGUGAUCAAAAUACAGAACUGCUUUUGCUGAGUUUCACUGCAGUUUGUGCCUGCCAUCAUCACAUGUCGAUGCCACAUCAACUUCUAUCAACCCUGGCAACUGUUGUGGAAACAGCCCAUCAUAGGAUCUCCUAUAAAUAAGCCUUGGGAGUAUUUUUUUAUUUUUAAA